rnacentral:rRNA from 1 species
AACGAACGCUGGCGGCGUGGAUAAGACAUGCAAGUCGAACGGGAUUACUGGUGUAGCAAUACAUCAGUGGUCUAGUGGCGUAAGGGUGCGUAACACGUGGGCAAUCUGCCGAGAAGUGGGGGAGUAGCUCGCCGAAAGGCGAAUUAAUACCGCAUGUGGUUAGUGCUGGAUUCAGCACGACACCAAAGCCGGGGCAACCUGGCGCUUCUUGAUGAGCCCGCGGCCUAUCAGCUAGUUGGUGAGGUAACGGCUCACCAAGGCUAUGACGGGUAGCUGGUCUGAGAGGACGACCAGCCACACUGGAACUGAGACACGGUCCAGACACCUACGGGUGGCAGCAGUCGAGAAUUUUUCUCAAUGGGGAAACCCUGAAGGGCGACGCCGCGUGGAGGAUGAAGGUCUUCGGUAUUGUAAACUCCUGUCAUUUGGGAACAAUGUGCACUGAUUAACUGUCGGUGUAUUGAUAGUACCAGAAGAGGAAGAGACGGC